rnacentral:lncRNA from 1 species
GAUGCAUGGUUUGGCCGCCUAACCUUGCCCCCGAAAGUUGAGUUGUGGCUUGAAAGCAGACUUUCGGCCGCCGAAGGUAAUGUUCGGCCGCCGAAAGUGCCUGACUUUCGUUUCUGAAGAGAAGGUUCGGCCGCCGAAGGUGCCGCCGAACCUACCCGAGUUUCGUCUCUGGAGGAGACUUUCGGCCGCCGAAGGUGCCGCCGAAAGUGCCUGUCCAGCCUUUUCAUGGCUGUUUUC